GAUGAACGCUAGCUACAGGCUUAACACAUGCAAGUCGAGGGACCGACGCACGGGUGAGUAACACGUAUCCAACCUGCCCUUUACGCGGGGAUAGCCUUUACAAAGAAAGAUUAAUACCCGAUGUCAAGGAUGGGGAUCCGUGCAAUUAUGUUGUUGGUGAGGUAACGGCACACCAAGCCUUCGAUGGAUAGGGGUUCUGGGAGGCGGGUCACCCAAAUUUGAACUGAGACCCGGUCCAAGCUCGUAGGGGAGGCAGCAGAGAGGAAGGUGGGUGAAUGGGGGUUAGCCUGAAACCGCCAAGUAGCGGGAAGGAUGAAGGGUUAUGGGUCGUCAACUUUUGUUAUAGAAGAAUAGGUAUUAUAUGAAUAAGGAUCGGCUAACUCCGUGCCAGCAGCCGCGGUAAUAC
rnacentral:rRNA from 1 species